AUGCCGAUGCUCAUCCCCGACGACGUUCGCGCCAAGGCGGAGAUCUACACCGGCGACGCGGCGGGGCAGGAGAAGACGCGGCUGAUGCUGGCGGAGACGGAGCUCCCCAGCGGCCUCCUGCCGCUCAAGGACAUCAUCGAGUGCGGGUACGUGGAGGAGACUGGCUUCGUGUGGCUCAAGCAGAAGAAGCGGGUGGACCACUACUUCGCCAAGGCCGGCCGCCAUGUCUCCUACGCCACCGAGGUCUCCGCCAUCGCCGAGAAGGGCCGCCUGAAGAAGAUCUCCGGCGUCAAGGCCAAGGAGAUGCUCAUCUGGGUCAACCUCCACGAGAUCUGCGUCGACGACCCGCCCACCGGCAAGCUCCACUGCAAGGCCAUCGGCGGCCUCUCCCGCAGCUUCCCCGUGGAGGCAUUCGAGGCCACCGACGCCCUGCCCGUGCCCGUCACCGGACGUCUCAAGAAGAAGACAGAGAAGGAGAGCGCCGACCAGAAAGACGAGAAGAAGAAGGAGGAGGAGGCGGUAGCAGCCAAGAACUGA
rnacentral:rRNA from 1 species